AGCAUAUCAAUAAGCGGAGGAAAAGAAACCAACAGGGAUUGCCCCAGUAACGGCGAGUGAAGCGGCAACAGCUCAGAUUUGAAAUCUGGCCCUCACGGGGUCCGAGUUGUAAUCUGUAGAGGAUGCUUUUGGCGACGCGCCUUCCGAGUCCCCUGGAACGGGGCGCCAGAGAGGGUGAGAGCCCCGUAUGGUUGGACGCCGAACCUCUGUAAAGCUCCUUCGACGAGUCGAGUAGUUUGGGAAUGCUGCUCAAAAUGGGAGGUAAAUUUCUUCUAAAGCUAAAUACCGGCCAGAGACCGAUAGCGCACAAGUAGAGUGAUCGAAAGAUGAAAAGCACUUUGAAAAGAGGGUCAAAUAGCACGUGAAAUUGCUGAAAGGGAAGCGCUUGUGACCAGACUUGCGCCCGGUUGAUCAUCCAGCGUUCUCGCUGGUGCACUCUGCCGGGUUCAGGCCAGCAUCGGCUCUCCCAGGGGGAUAAAGGUCGCGGGAACGUAGCUCUCUCCGGGGAGUGUUAUAGCCCGUGGCGGAAUGCCCUUAGGGGGGGCCGAGGCUCGCGUUCGCAAGGAUGCUGGCGUAAUGGUCACCAGCGACCCGUCUUGAAACACGGACCAAGGAGUCAAGCAUUAGGGCGAGUCUUUGGGUGUAAAACCCGCAGGCGCAAUGAAAGUGAACGGAGGUGAGAGCUUCGGCGCAUCAUCGACCGAUCCUGAUGUUCUCGGAUGGAUUUGAGUAAGAGCCUUACCGCUUGGACCCGAAAGAUGGUGAACUAUGCCUGAAUAGGGUGAAGCCAGAGGAAACUCUGGUGGAGGCUCGCAGCGGUUCUGACGUGCAAAUCGAUCGUCAAAUUUGGGCAUGGGGGCGAAAGACUAAUCGAACCAUCU
rnacentral:rRNA from 1 species